CUUAAUAACAGUGGGGAACUUCACUUGGGAAUUUCAAAUAAUAGGAGGUCACAGAUGUCAACAGUGGGUAAAACAUUUUCCACAGUCUACAGACUUUUGAUUCCAAAGUACAGACUUGCCCAGUUAUGUGAUUUAAGAGCAAGAAAACUGUGUAAGUACCUGAAAGUUGAAGAAUUUGGUGAAAAAAAUGAUGCAGAAAGAUGAAAAAGUUCUAAGUAUUCAAUAAAUACAUGUGCAAUAGAGUAUCACCUGACUGCAGUGCGUCUUAGAAGAAGAUUGACUCCCUAUACUCUUCCCUACAAGUCACCGUAUGCCAUCAAGUCUCGUAUUCCUACUUUGGCAAGAACAAUAGAUCUUGAUAACUUUAUACUUUAUAAAUAAACUUCAUUUGUUCACUUUAUAUGCUUACAUGUAUAACUUGA
ensembl:lncRNA